AAGAUAUUAAUAAAAUUAUUAUAUAACUUUGUCAAAGUUAAUUUAUAGGUUAAAAUCCUUUAUAUCUUU
rnacentral:tRNA from 1 species